rnacentral:lncRNA from 1 species
CAAAAGGAGAGAAAUAUGAACUUUGGCUCUGUUUAUUAGUUGCUAAAUUUUCAAUAAAAGAUAAAUUACGAAUUUGGACCAAUCGUUUGUAUUUCAAGCUCAUUGUCGCUUCUUUAAAUGAACUGCAUCCUAUGAAAUUUCAAGUUGUUCUGUGCUUUGAUUUGAAAAAUGAAAUAAAAACAACAACAAGGUUGUAGACUUGAUCUCCAAGCAUCAAAGAUUUCAUGAUAGUAGAGUGCAUUGUGAGCUUGCUGAUUUGUAUUAUAGUUCAACUCAUCAGCUACAAACUUAUUUGGUUGGGCAAAAACUGAUUCCAAUCUUGGUUUGGGCAAUGCUUUAAAAUCAUCCAGACAUUUUCCGUUACGCAUGCAUCAAAAGCUUCUCCAACUCAAUUAGGCAAAGAUUUUUCAAUUCAUAAUCGGGAAUUUGCAAAUCUCUGUAAUAAAACAAGAUAAAUACAUUGGCUUCACCAAUUAGUUUAUUGAUACAAACUACUAAAU